GCCAUUUUCUUUGCGCUGUCUUUGAGGGGAAGCGAGUGAAAUUCUGUGUGAGAAGUAAGUUAUUUAGUGUGUAUUUAACAAUUUUCAUAAGAAAUAACACACUUAGUUUACUUAGUAUAAUAUACACGCGCUUUUUUUUCUGUUUCUCCGCCUGAUGGCCGACUUGUUGCUCCGCCUCACGCUGACCUGUGCUCGCCUUAUGGCUGAACUGUUGCUCCGAGUCCGCCUGACGAGCCACCUGUUUCUCCGGAUCUGUUUCUCCGCCUAACGGCGACGUGUUUCUCCGGACCUGUUUCUCCGGACCUGUUUCUCCGCCUAACGGCGACCUGUGCUCGCCUCACGCCCGACCUGUUGAUCGGUGGACGGGUAAGCGCGCAUGGCAUCGGAAGGAGCUCGAAAAGUAUAAGGUGAUGACAGUAAGUAACGUUACUGUGAUUUGUGAUCUUUCUGGGGUGUUAACUGUAAAGCAAUGGAUAAUUGCGUGAAAAUCAAACUAAAAGAAUGCAAUCUUGAGGAGUUAAUCCCCACAUUUGAAGCACAGGAGCGAACCUUUCCUCGUUUUUAGGUCAAUUUGAAUACAAUUCAGAGGGGUGGCAUGGGGGCGCAGUGGGUAGUGCUGUCGCCUCACAGCAAGAUGGUCGCUGGUUGAGCCUUGGAUGGGUUUCCCCUCCACAGUCCAAUGACAUGCGGUGUAGCUGAAUUGGAUUGGGACCAAUAUUGCUGAGUAUCUUCAUCCAUUGAAUUCAAGAAUCUAUUGAGUUUCCUCAUGUUCUCAUCCUUGGAGACCACCACUUCUUUCAAGCCUUUGCUCACGUGCUGUGCCAUUUAUUAUUGCAAAGUACAUUACUUGCCAAAGUGGACGUUUGCUAUAAAGCAUUCUACAUCUUUGGUGUGAACUACCCCAAGCAGUGUUCCCUGGUGUGGCAGACUGUGGUUUAUGGACAUCCUGGGGAGGAGACACUAGCAGUAAGGGUUCUGCUAGCAUUAAUUUUUGCUGACAAACAGUAAUCAUUAAUACUGUGACCUCACUGCUUCCUUGGAUUCUGUGUUCUUUAACUUGUACUUUGGAUUGUGGGGGAAAAGGAGCACCCAGAGAAAACCCACACGAACACGGGGAAAACAUGCAAACUCCACACAGAAACACCAACUGACCCAGCUGAGGCUUAAACCACCGACCUUGUUGCUGUGAGGCAAUCGUACUACCCACUGUGCCACCAUGACACCCAUUUCUAAAGAAUAGUUUUAAUAACUCAUUUCUAAUAACUGAUUUCUUUUCUCUUUGCUAUGAUGACGGCACAUAAUAAUGGACUAGAUAUUUUUUAAGACACUCUACACUGCAGUUACAUUGCAACUAAUGUUUCUUACAGACUCUUUUAUAUCUCAGGAUUGAUGUUUGCACAUGAUUGUUCGAGUAAAAGUUAAAAAAAGUUUUCCUAUUUCAAAUUUGUUUUAAAAUGCUUCCAUCCUCAGGUUUCAUUUUAACUUUUAUAUCUCUUUUUUCUUCAAAACUGCAUUUACAUUGAACUUGAUCAUCCUUACUGAUGAUUGCUUUAUAGCUCAUAUAUUGAUGUUUGCACAUAAUUGUUAAAGGGAAAGUUAUAAAAUGUUUUCUUAUUUUUUCUUAAUAUAAAAUUUGUAUUUUCUUAGUUUUUAUUGUUUGUUUUGUUUUUUCAAGCUGUUUGAUGCCUUUUCAUUAUUACUUUCACAUAUUUUUUUCUGCAUUGCAGUUGAUGAUUUAUAUGAGAAUAUGUUGAUGUUUGUGCUCAAAUUACUUUCUGACUUCAGUCAUUUAGAUGCAUUUUCAUUAUUACUUCCUUAUACUAUUGUUUUUCUCUACUCUGCAAUAACAUUGCAAUUGCCUUACUGAUGAUUCCUGAUUUAUAAAUGAUGCAAAUGUUUUUGAAUGUAUUUCAAAUAUGCAUUUUCUUAAGGUAAUUUGUCUGAUUUCAGUCUGAUGCAUUGUUACUGAACUUUAGUCAGUGUUUCUGUGAUACAGUUUGAUAAAUUUUCACAGAAAUCGUCUUAACCCUUUAACAACCCUUUCAAGAAAAAAAAUUGGAUUGCAUUUCUCAACUGCUAAUGUCGCUAUUGAACACAAUCAGUACAUUUUAACACAUGUUAUAAUUUCUAAAAUAUCAACCUCUACCAAAUGAUUGAUAUGUAUGUUUAUGGUAAAAGUACCAGAAUUAUGAAAAAUCUGAAAAAUUAUGUGUAAGACCAAUUUUUUCUUAUGACUUUAACAGUCAUUAUUUAAAACAGUAAAAACGAGGUCAACCAUUUGGUAGAGCAGGCAGUCAAAGGGUUAAUGCUGAGGUGCAGAUGGGAAAAAUCUCAAAUUCAUUUGGACACAUUUUAUCUUUUGUCAUAAAUAAAAUUCCAUUACUGAACAACUAUG
rnacentral:lncRNA from 1 species